rnacentral:rRNA from 1 species
CAAAAACAUGUCUAUUACGAAGUUGUUAAUAGUCAGGCCUGCUCACUGACUGGAAGUUUAAGAGCCGCGGUAUAUUGACCGUGCAAAGGUAGCAUAAUAAUUAGUUUUUUAAUUGGAAACUAGUAUGAAUGGUUUGACAAAAGAAAAGCUGUCUCUGUUUUAAAUAUUGAAUUUAACUUUUAAGUGAGAAGGCUUAAAUAGUUUAGGGGGACGAUAAGACCCUAUAAAGCUUUAUAUGGUGUUAGCGUUUUACUGAAUUAUUGUUUAAAAGUUUAGGUUAAUGUUUUAUUUUGUUGGGGCGACAAGAAUAUAAUUAAGAUAACUGUUUUAAGUUUAUACAAUAAUGUUUGGAAAAAAUUAAAUGAUCCUCUAUAGGGAUUUAAAAUCAAGUUACUUUAGGGAUAACAGCGUAAUUUCUUUUGAGAGUUCAUAUCGAAAGAGAAGUUUGCGACCUCGAUGUUGAAUUAAGAUUUCUUUAUUGUGCAGCCGCAAUAAAAGAGGGUCUGUUCGACCUUUAAUUUCUUACAUGAUUUGAGUUCNGAUCGGCGUGAGCGANUGAU